rnacentral:rRNA from 1 species
GACGAACGCUGGCGGCGUGCUUAACACAUGCAAGUCGAACGGAAAGGCCCUGCUUUUGUGGGGUGCUCGAGUGGCGAACGGGUGAGUAACACGUGAGUAACCUGCCCUUGACUUUGGGAUAACUUCAGGAAACUGGGGCUAAUACCGGAUAGGAGCUCCUGCUGCAUGGUGGGGGUUGGAAAGUUUCGGCGGUUGGGGAUGGACUCGCGGCUUAUCAGCUUGUUUGUGGGGUAGUGGCUUACCAAGGCUUUGACGGGUAGCCGGCCUGGGAGGGUGACCGGCCACAUUGGGCCUGCGAUACGGCCCAGUCUCCUACGGGAGGCAGUAGUGGGGAAUAUUGCACAAUGGGCGGAAGCCUGAUGCAGCAGCGCCGCGUGCGGGAUGACGGCCUUCGGGUUGUAAACCGCUUUCGCCUGUGACGAAGCGUGAGUGACGGUAAUGGGUAAAGAAGCACCGGCUAACUACGUG